UUGAUAGGUGGCACCUCCGUGGCCUCUACCUUGAGAUAAAUCCGGGUGAGAGAGAGGCACUGGCAGUGGCACUGAGACAGGUGUAGGACGGUAGCGGUGCCCGCCCCCGUCUGUCCGUGGUGUGUGUGGCAGAGUAAAGACAAUGAGAGCCAUCUUUUUAAUGACGUAUUAGAGCGUCAUUUAUCGUCAUCCACUUCCGACCAUUACGCCAAUUACUUCCGACCAAUCACCACGUGUAUUCGAGGCGGCCGCGGCAGUCAGCUGUCCACCUGUAAGGGUCUUCGUCAUUCAGUGUCACAAUGGCAGAUAAGACCAUGGGGAACUACAAGUCCAGAUCUAGGUCAACAUGUUCUCAGGAGCUUCACAAGAAAAUCCUACAAAAUUAUGUAAAUCUAGAGCAUAAGAUGCAGGAAGACUUGAAUGUGGAACUUGAGAAUCUUACUGAGAUUCAACAAGUCUGUAGCAAUGGAUCUGCAGAUCAACUGGCAAAACAUCUGAAUUCUGAGACUGUUGGUGAACGAUUAGAUAAUGGCAUGACACUGCUUCACCUCUGUUGUCUAGCAGCUGUCAGUGGAAAGAAUGAUUCAGUAAAAGAGUUGGACUGCAAUGACACUGAGGGGAAGAGUAAUGUUUCUUAUAAUACAAGUGUCCUCCAGCUUAUGAGAUCCCCAAGAGAAAAAGGUGAUCAUGAAGACAGGACCCGAGAACAUGUGAAUGAGCAGAGUACAAAAACUAGAAAUAGAGAAGCAAGAGAGCAGAUUCGUCUUCUUCUAAAGAAAGGAGCUGAUCCAGCCAUUAUCAGCAAGAAUGGAUUUUCACCACUUCAUAUCGUAUCAUACAAGGGAGAUGUGGAGAUUGUUAGACUCUUCUUGGAGAAUUGCAGUCACCUGGACCACACUGGUGCUGGGAGCCUGACUGCUUUACACCUGUCAUGCCUGAGUGGCCAGCUGGAGGUGACACAAGCCCUGGCACAGCGGGGAGCCAACAUAGAGGCACGAGAUGCUGUCUCAUAUUCCCCCCUGCACAUUGCCUGCCUCUACGGGAAUGAGACUGUGGUGGAGUAUUUGCUGUCCCGGGGAGUUGACGUGAACAUUUCGGGGUCAGUGGGUGACCGGCCUCUACAUCUGGCAGCUGACCGUGGGGACUACAAAGUGGUGCAGCUGUUGCUCAAGAAGGGUGCCCGAGUAAGGCUGCAAGAUGAAGAAGGCAACACAGCCCUACACUGCUGUGUGAGAAAUGGCUACUUGAAUAUUCUGAAUCUCCUCCUCCAACCACAGUACCGCAAUGAUGCCCACAUUCCUAAUGUUUACCUCGACACACCACUGCAUGUGGCUUGUUAUGAAGGGUGGUUUGAAUGCUCCAAGACUCUUCUGACCUUUGGAGGUUCAGGUCUUCUUCUAAAAGAGAACCUGUGGGGAGAGACACCCCUUCAUGCAGCCUGCACAGGAGGAUAUUGCAUUGACUUGGUGGAUUUCCUCUUGAGUCAGAAUUCCACUUCUGUAAACUAUCAGAGUCCUGAUGGGCACACACCACUGCACUCUGCUGCCUUCCAUGGACACCUCAAGAUAGUUCAGUUGUUGCUCAGCCACGGGGCAGACAUCAACCUCACUGCUCGAGACCGUUAUGUGCCCUUCGACAAAAAAGAAGAGCAGACACCUCUUAUGUGGGCUUAUGACCAAGGACAUGACAGCAUAGCCAACAUUCUCAAGCACUUCCGUCGGCCAGGCAUGUGUGAUGAGUACGCCAGAGGAGAGUAUCUAUCUCCCCUCGACACUUCCUAUUUCCCCAUCCCAUCACCCAUCGGGAAACUGCGUACUAUGAUACAAGAAAAAAUUGAUGUACUUCAUUUGAGAACACUGAUACCACCUCACCAACACCUCAGCCUGGCAGAGAUAGAAAACUUGGAAAAUAUAGAUUCAGGUUCUUUUGGUAAAGUCUACAAAGGAAGAUUCAAUGAUAAGAUUGUGGCUGUCAAGAGGUACCGAGCCAACAUGACCUAUGGAAAAAGUGAUGUGGAGAUGUUUUGCAGAGAAGUGUCAGUUCAUGGGUCUCUGGAUUCCCCCUACAUUGUUAAAUUUGUUGGAGCAUGUUUACAAGAUCCCAGUCAAUUUGCAAUAGUGACGGAAUAUGUUCCUGGCGGCUCCCUCUUCAGCACCUUACAUGAACAGAAAAGGUCCAUAGACACACUGACAAGAUUCAACAUAGCAACUGAUGUGGCAAGAGGCAUGCACUACCUGCACACUCUGCCGCAGCCCAUUAUACACAGGGACCUCAACUCCCACAACAUUCUUUUAAGCAAUGAUUGUCGUGCUCGUGUUGCUGAUUUUGGAGAGUCAAGGUUUGUGCGGAACAUCUUUGAGGAGAACAUGACAAAGCAGCCCGGCAACCUGAGAUGGAUGGCUCCUGAAGUCUUUACACAAUCCCACACUGGCUGUAGUUACUUCCAGUGCACCAGUCUCCUGUGUGAGAUCAUUCCAGACCAAGUCAUUUAUGUCCCCAUCAAGCCAGGCUGUGGAGCAUUUGUUGCUCUACCUUCACCUUCAGCCUUCUUUAAAAUCAUGAUCCUGUCACUCAUCCUUAUCAUAUUCACAACCUGAUUACCCAUUGGUUAGAUAAUUAUAACUGCAGGUUAGUCAACUUUGCAUCAUUAAGUUUCAAGUUACUAAAAGCUUUCAUAUUCAAAUAGUUAACUAGAAAUAAAUAUAAAUGAACAAAUGGACUGAGAUGUACUGUGCCCACCUCACCUUGUGAUCUUGUGUCUCAUAUGUUUAUUAUAGUCACCAAAUACCAACCUUACAUCACAGUGGCACAUGCUGCUCAGGGAGUGUGUUUUAUUUAAGGCCUCCCAGCAAGCAUAAAAAAAAUAGGCUGGGACAAAUUGUCUAAUUGGCAUCUUAAGUGCAUCUUUCCUCCUCACUCACAUCAGUAGCAGCAAUGACCAUUAUUAAUUACUAGACUCAGUAUUCAUUGUGUCUUUGAUGACAUGUAACUGGCUCUUUUCUUAUGAUGAAAUGCAUUAUGUUCGUUCUUUGUGGUGUUUGUAGUGACGAGUGUGAGGCAGACAAGCCACAGUGAUAUCAUUCCAUCAUAAACCUUCACAUGUGCUAUACGUGAAUGCUGUCCAUAUAACAAAACAUGUGAAUAAGAAAAUACAAAAUUUCCAGAACCUCUAAUGAAAAUUUGUGAAGGAAGGCAGUGAGGAAUUAUCUUUUUACAGCCAUGGUGGUGGCAUCUGCACUGCUUCCCUUCAACUGCCAUGCUGUAAAAGUCAGAUUAGAGUCCAACUGCUUUCAUAGAAAAGCUAGAAGCUGUGUGGUAAAAAUAAAGGGAUGCCAGCACUAGUUGUGAAAAGACAAUUACUCACUAUUUCCCUUGACGAAUUUUCAAAUGACGUUUUAGAAGUUUCACAUUUUUAAAUUCACAUGUUUUGCUAUAUCGACACCAUUCAGCCCAACAUGUGAAGAUCUGUGAUUGAAUACUUUGUCUGCCUUGUCUGCCUUGCGUUCAUUACAGCACUACACAUCACACCACAGCAUAAACAGAACAUAAUGUAUUUCACCCCAAGAACAGAGCCUAUCAAGUAUCACCAAAGAUACAACAAACACUAACACUGAUAACCUGCUUAAUACUAGUCAUUGUUGCUAUAGGUGUGAGUGAGGAGGAAAGAUGCACUUGAGAUGCUAAUAAAUCAAUUUGUCCCUGCCCAAUUUUUAUGCUUGCUGGGAGGCCUUAAGUAAAACAUGCUCCCUGAGCAGCAUGUGUCGCCAUGAUGCAAGAUCAGCGUUUGCUGACUGUAUUUCUACAAAGUGCAGGAAAUGGGGUUAUGAUGAUUUCUUUUCCUCUCCCAACAAGUGCACCCAGUACUCAAUCAAGGCAGACGUCUUUUCUUUUGGGUUGUGUUUGUGGGAGCUGCUUGCCUCUGAACUGCCUUUUGCACAUUUAAAGCCUGCUGCAGCAGCUGCUGAUAUGGCCUAUAAACAUAGUCGACCACCCCUAGACCU